rfam:Dipodomys ordii contig_49636, whole genome shotgun sequence.
GGGAAUGUGGCUUAGUGGUAGAGUGCUUGCCUGGCAUGCAUGAAGCCCUGGGUUCGAUUCCUCAGUACCA